rfam:Zootermopsis nevadensis contig1534, whole genome shotgun sequence.
AAAACGGCCCUUUUAAGGGCCCCAAUGCUUUUCCGAAAGGUGUUUG